rnacentral:rRNA from 1 species
GAUGAACGCUGGCGGCGUGCCUAAUACAUGCAAGUCGAGCGAACAGACGAGGAGCUUGCUGCUCUGACGUUAGCGGCGGACGGGUGAGUAACACGUGGAUAACCUACCUAUAAGACUGGGAUAACUUCGGGAAACCGGAGCUAAUACCGGAUCAUCUCUUCAACCGCAUGGUUCAAUAGUGAAAUGCGGGUUUGCUGUCACCGCUAGGUGGAUCCGCGCCGCAUUAGCGAGUUGGUACGGUAACGGCUUACCAAGGCAAGGAUGCGUAGCCGACCUGAGAGGGUGUUCGCGCACGCUGGAGCUGCGGCACGGCCCGGGCUCCUACGGGACGCAGCAGUAGGGACGCUUCCGCAAUGGGCGUUCGCCGGGCGGAGCAGGGCCGCGCGAGUUAUGCAGGCCUUCGGACCGUAGAGCACUCUCACGAGGGAAGAGGAAAGGUGUAAGUAACCGCGCACGUCUUGACUGUAACGAAACAGCAAGCCCCGCCGAAUUGCGUG